AGACAUUAUUGUGCUGAUUUGGAAAUGUAAUGAGUUAAAGACUUUUAGAAAGAGCUGUUGUUUUUGUUUGUUCUACUUUAUAUUAUGACAUGAUUGAGAAGUUUCUAGACUUCAGGUUUAUUUUGUGGUCAAUUUUUCAAGGUUUACCUUUUAGGAGCUCUGUAGUCCUGGAUAAGUCUAUUUCAUGUGUAUAUAUCUCUGUUGCAGAGUGUAGACAUCAGUUGGAAGGUUUUAUGCGGCUGGUCGAUUUUGUGUGCAGGUGGUUAUUGCUGUUGUACAGUUGAGCUUUCUUUAGGCUGUUGCUUUUUGGCAGCGAUACAGAACAGAGGUGUCCUUAGAGGAGUCAAAACUUAAAAGAAAUUUGCACUUUGCAAAGGAUACAAAUGAUGAGAUAAAAUACCUGAUAGUAAUUUGAAUUUCUUCUAGGACUUUCUAUUUAUGUAAUGAGAAAUCACCCAAAAGAAGGUAGUUUGAAAUUUGAGCCACCGCACCUGGCCAACACUUCAUUUCUUAAGAAAGGAAUAUUAUUUUUCUUUUAUUAUAUUGUAAAAGGAAAUACUUUAUAAAGGAAUAUAUACUCUUUUGAAAAUAGUGAAUAAUGAGUCCAAAAUAUGAGUUUUUAAUAUAGUGCUAAAAAAGUGGUUUCAUGUUUGGGAAAAUUAUCAAAGGCCUAAAUUAGGUGUCAUGCCACAUAAAUGAUUGAAUAAUUAUCUGUUUUUGCUGUAACUUGCUUAACUACUUUGUUACUCUGUCCAAAGAAGUAGCUUAUUGAACCCAUUUUUAUUUCACAAUAAUUUUUAAAAAUAAUUAUUUUAUAAGCAUAAAACGUGUACCAGGGUGGAAACCCAUUUAGUCAGGAAAGAGUUGAAUUGUGAAGAGAGUGUUUUUUUAUACAUGUGUUUUUCUUUGUUUUGAGGGAUAGGUGUGUGAGUGACAUUUGUAAUUUAGCUUGUUUUUCUGGGAAGAAGAUUGCUGAUCCUUGGGUUUAAAGAUGAGGGCUCAAGAUUAAUUGAUGAGACUAGUGAUGGUCUAAAUUUUACAGAACAUGCAUGCCACUAAUAGCUUAAUAGUUAGGAUGAUAACAGUUUGUGAGUGAAUUUAUGUGCUUUAUUUUUCUCGAACUUACUGACUUUGAAUACGUUAUAAAAUUGGAGCUGUGCUCCUAAGGAGUAACAUGGAACUCCAUCAUAGGUCCACCUCCAGCAAAAGGCUAGCAGGGGUGGUGGGGACACUGAGGCUGGCUUGAUUUCCCAUCCUGCCCCCCAUGGUUGGUCGUGGGAAGAAGGUCGGGCUGCCGUGGCUCCUGUGCACUUUGGUUGCUGAGAGUGGUUGUGGGCAGCAGGCCGGUGAGCAGUGGGGGCAGGGAUCUUGACACCAGCCCUUGUUGGACUCCACACCCUUCUGACCAUUCAUCCACCUUUGGGAGUGGGGAGCAGGGUCUGUUGAAAGAGGCAGCCGUGUCAUGCUCCUGUUAGUAAGGGAA
rnacentral:lncRNA from 1 species